UAGCCUAGUGGUUAAGGCUAUGGAUCGCCAAUUCAGAGACGGCGGGUUCGAUUCCCGU
rfam:Aedes albopictus isolate Foshan contig50199, whole genome shotgun sequence.